rnacentral:rRNA from 1 species
UUGUCAUUAGUUGCUACGAAAAGGCACUCUAAUGAGACUGCCGGUGAUAAGCCGGAGGAAGGUGGGGAUGACGUCAAGUCCUCAUGGCCCUUAUAGGUGGGGCUACACACGUCAUACAAUGGCUGGUACAAAGGGUUGCCAACCCGCGAGGGGAAGCUAAUCCCAUAAAGCCAGUCGUAGUCCGGAUCGCAGUCUGCAACUCGACUGCGUGAAGUCGGAAUCGCUAGUAAUCGUGGAUCAGAAUGUCACGGUGAAUACGUUCCCGGGUCUU